UCUGUUGGCUGUUUUGCUUCUUUCAGUGGCCACUAGGCUAAGAAGAUGAGGGCUUGAAAAAAGCAAAGCUUGAAAUUCCUGCCAGAGGUGAAUGAAAAUAUCAAUGUGACAUUGUGAGGACUCUGAAAUAGAGUAACAAGACUUUUCUUAUGUGGAAUCCCAAGAAAGUCCUGGUCUAUAGAGCUCAGAUUUUUCCCAUGAAGCUCAGAGAGGAUGAAGAUAUAGCUGGUUUAACUUUGUAUUGGGACUCUGAGAUGCUCCUUAUUGUCACUGCUUCCAUGGACCCUUUAGCGUGUCAGAAGAAAUCGAUGGCCACCGUGAAACGGGAUUUAACAGGAUCCAUCUGAGAACAUUGGUAGGUAGGAAGAUACCAGUUGUAUAUGGUAAAUUAUGAAUGACUUAUCUAAGCUGUGUAUGCUCUAACACUAUUAGGUCAAAUCAUUCCAGUAGAUUCACAUCAUAUCUUGUAAGGAAUCGGACACUUUAUUCUCCAUAAAUCACAAUGUUAGUAGUAAACAACUAAAGAGUGGCUGAGUCUUUCAUGUGAUUGUCUACUUCUGCUGUAGAACAUGAUGAUUUGACAAUAUAUAUUUUUUUUUUCCAGGACAGCAAGAGUGCAGUUUGAUGUGCGCUCUGGUGUGUGUUGAGUUACAACUGUGGCAUGGAUCAGUUUUGCCUGGCUUGAACACAAGCUAGUUGACUUCAUAUUGCCUGUAUACAUUGAGACUUCACAGUAAUUAACUCACUAAACUUAGUAAAUAUAUGUUAUUUGUUUGAAACUAUGAGACUGAAAGGCAUGUGUAGUACUGAAAUAAUUCAGUAAAUACACAUCUGUGCUCCUAAUUCUUGCAGACUUUAUCAAUCCACCAUCUGACAUUUCCAGGAAAUGCUUGUGUGUGCAAUGUGGAGAUCAAUACCUUGUUGGUAGGAAAUUACCUUUCUGUUGGUCUGGGAGAUCAGUGUAUUCAGAAUCCAGGGUG
rnacentral:lncRNA from 1 species